rnacentral:rRNA from 1 species
UGGGGAAUAUUGGACAAUGGGCGAAAGCCUGAUCCAGCCAUGCCGCGUGAGUGAUGAAGGCCUUAGGGUUGUAAUGCUCUUUUUGGCGGGGACGAUAAUGACGGUACCCGCAGAAUAAGCCCCGGCUAACUUCGUGCCAGCAGCCGCGGUAAUACGAAGGGGGCUGGCGUUGUUCGGAAUUACUGGGCGUAAAGCGCACGUAGGCGGAUCAGCAAGUCAGGGGUGAAAUCCCGGGGCUCAACCUCGGAACUGCCUCUGAUACUGCUAGUCUAGAGUCCGGAAGAGGUGGGUGGAAUUCCUAGUGUAGAGGUGAAAUUCGCAGAUAUUAGGAAGAACACCGGUGGCGAAGGCGGCCCACUGGUCCGGUACUGACGCUGAGGUGCGAAAGCGUGGGGAGCAAACAGGAUUAGAUACCCCAGUAGUCCCUGAGCGGGCUGGCAAGGCGCAU